rnacentral:rRNA from 1 species
CCUACGGGAGGCUGCAGUGGGGAAUCUUGCACAAUGGGGGCAACCCUGAUGCAGCGACGCCGCGUGAACGAUGAAGCCCUUCGGGGUGUAAAGUUCUUUCGGCGGGAAACCGGUACCUGCAGAAGCAGCUGCGGCUAACUACGUGCCAGCAGCCGCGGUAAUACGUAGGCAGCGAGCGUUGUUCGGAGUUACUGGGCGUAAAGGGUGUGUAGGCGGUCCUCUAAGUUUGGUGUGAAAUCUCCCGGCUUAACCGGGAGGGUGCGCCGAAAACUGGGGGACUAGAGUGCGGGAGGGGAGAGUGGAAUUCCUGGUGUAGCGGUGAAAUGCGUAGAUAUCAGGAGGAACACCGGUGGUGUAGACGGCUCUCUGGACGUACUGACGCUGAGACACGAAAGCGUGGGUAGCAAACAGGAUUAGAUACCCUUGUAGUC